rnacentral:rRNA from 1 species
CCCUUUGGGGUGUGACUGCGUACCUUUUGUAUAAUGGGUCAGCGACUUAUAUUCUGUAGCAAGGUUAACCGUAUAGGGGAGCCGUAGGGAAACCGAGUCUUAACCGGGCGUUAAGUUGCAGGGUAUAGACCCGAAACCCGGUGAUCUAGCCAUGGGCAGGUUGAAGGUUGGGUAACACUAACUGGAGGACCGAACCGACUAAUGUUGAAAAAUUAGCGGAUGACCUGUGGCUGGGGGUGAAAGGCCAAUCAAACCGGGAGAUAGCUGGUUCUCCCCGAAAGCUAUUUAGGUAGCGCCUCGUGAAUUCAUCUCCGGGGGUAGAGCACUGUUUCGGCUAGGGGGCCAUCCCGGCUUACCAACCCGAUGCAAACUGCGAAUACCGGAGAAUGUUAUCACGGGAGACACACGGCGGGUGCUAACGUCCGUCGUGAAGAGGGAAACAACCCAGACCGCCAGCUAAGGUCCCAAAGUCAUGGUUAAGUGGGAAACGAUGUGGGAAGGCCCAGACAGCCAGGAUGUUGGCUUAGAAGCAGCCAUCAUUUAAAGAAAGCGUAAUAGCUCACUGGUCGAGUCGGCCUGCGCGGAAGAUGUAACGGGGCUAAACCAUGCACCGAAGCUGCGGCAGCGACGCUGAUGCGUUGUUGGGUAGGGGAGCGUUCUGUAAGCCUGCGAAGGUGACCUGUGAGGGUUGCUGGAGGUAUCAGAAGUGCGAAUGCUGACAUAAGUAACGAUAAAGCGGGUGAAAAGCCCGCUCGCCGGAAGACCAAGGGUUCCUGUCCAACGUUAAUCGGGGCAGGGUGAGUCGACCCCUAAGGCGAGGCCGAAAGGCGUAGUCGAUGGGAAACGGGUUAAUAUUCCCGUACUUGGUGUUACUGCGAAGGGGGGACGGAGAAGGCUAUGUUGGCCGGGCGACGGUUGUCCCGGUUUAAGCGUGUAGGUGUGUGUUCCAGGUAAAUCCGGUUCACUUUAACACUGAGGCGUGACGACGAGGCACUACGGUGCUGAAGCAACAAAUGCCCUGCUUCCAGGAAAAGCCUCUAAGCAUCAGGUAACAUCAAAUCGUACCCCAAACCGACACAGGUGGUCAGGUAGAGAAUACCAAGGCGCUUGAGAGAACUCGGGUGAAGGAACUAGGCAAAAUGGUGCCGUAACUUCGGGAGAAGGCACGCUGACACGUAGGUGAAGUGAUUUACUCAUGGAGCUGAAGUCAGUCGAAGAUACCAGCUGGCUGCAACUGUUUAUUAAAAACACAGCACUGUGCAAACACGAAAGUGGACGUAUACGGUGUGACGCCUGCCCGGUGCCGGAAGGUUAAUUGAUGGGGUCAGCGCAAGCGAAGCUCCUGAUCGAAGCCCCGGUAAACGGCGGCCGUAACUAUAACGGUCCUAAGGUAGCGAAAUUCCUUGUCGGGUAAGUUCCGACCUGCACGAAUGGCGUAAUGAUGGCCAGGCUGUCUCCACCCGAGACUCAGUGAAAUUGAACUCGCUGUGAAGAUGCAGUGUACCCGCGGCAAGACGGAAAGACCCCGUGAACCUUUACUAUAGCUUGACACUGAACAUUGAGCCUUGAUGUGUAGGAUAGGUGGGAGGCUUUGAAGUGUGGACGCCAGUCUGCAUGGAGCCGACCUUGAAAUACCACCCUUUAAUGUUUGAUGUUCUAACGUGGACCCGUUACCCGGGUUGCGGACAGUGUCUGGUGGGUAGUUUGACUGGGGCGGUCUCCUCCUAAAGAGUAACGGAGGAGCACGAAGGUUGGCUAAUCCUGGUCGGACAUCAGGAGGUUAGUGCAAUGGCAUAAGCCAGCUUGACUGCGAGCGUGACGGCGCGAGCAGGUGCGAAAGCAGGUCAUAGUGAUCCGGUGGUUCUGAAUGGAAGGGCCAUCGCUCAACGGAUAAAAGGUACUCCGGGGAUAACAGGCUGAUACCGCCCAAGAGUUCAUAUCGACGGCGGUGUUUGGCACCUCGAUGUCGGCUCAUCACAUCCUGGGGCUGAAGUAGGUCCCAAGGGUAUGGCUGUUCGCCAUUUAAAGUGGUACGCGAGCUGGGUUUAGAACGUCGUGAGACAGUUCGGUCCCUAUCUGCCGUGGGCGCUGGAGAACUGAGGGGGGCUGCUCCUAGUACGAGAGGACCGGAGUGGACGCAUCACUGGUGUUCGGGUUGUCAUGCCAAUGGCACUGCCCGGUAGCUAAAUGCGGAAGAGAUAAGUGCUGAAAGCAUCUAAGCACGAAACUUGCCCCGAG